rnacentral:ribozyme from 1 species
AAAAAAAGAAAAAAAAAAAAAAAAAAAAAAAAAAUAGGGCAAAACGUAAAGGAAAGAAAUAGAAAUUUAGAUUCUGCUUUUUUUUAAUAUGUUUUCUUCCUUUUGCAAUGUUUUUUUAU